GUGGGGAAUUUUGGACAAUGGGCGCAAGCCUGAUCCAGCAAUGCCGCGUGCAGGAAGAAGGCCUUCGGGUUGUAAACUGCUUUUGUACGGAACGAAACGGUCCUGGCUAAUAUCCGGGGCUAAUGACGGUACCGUAAGAAUAAGCACCGGCUAACUACGUGCCAGCAGCCGCGGUAAUACGUAGGGUGCGAGCGUUAAUCGGAAUUACUGGGCGUAAAGCGUGCGCAGGCGGUGCUGUAAGACAGGCGUGAAAUGCCCGGGCUCAACGUGGGAAUUGCGCUUGUGACUGCAGUGCUGGAGUGCGGCAGAGGGGGAUGGAAUUCCGCGUGUAGCAGUGAAAUGCGUAGAUAUGCGGAGGAACACCGAUGGCGAAGGCAAUCCCCUGGGCCUGCACUGACGCUCAUGCACGAAAGCGUGGGGAGCAAACAGGAUUAGAAACCCGUGUAGUCC
rnacentral:rRNA from 1 species